rnacentral:rRNA from 1 species
ACCGCAGCAAUGCUGAUCUGCGAUUACUAGCGAUUCCGACUUCAUGGGGUCGAGUUGCAGACUCCAAUCCGGACUACGAUAGAUUUUCUGGGAUUGGCUCCCUCUCGCGAGUUGGCUUCCCUCUGUAUCUACCAAUUGUAGCACGUGUGUAGCCCUGGUCAUAAAGGCCAUGAUGACUUGACGUCAUCCCCACCUUCCUCCGGUUUGUCACCGGCGGUCUCCUUAGAGUGCCCAACUUAAUGAUGGCAACUAAGGACAAGGGUUGCGCUCGUUGCGGGACUUAACCCAACAUCUCACGACACGAGCUGACGACAGCCAUGCAGCACCUGUGUUCUGGUUCCUUGCGGCACUCCCAUAUCUCUACGGGAUUCCAGACAUGUCAAGACCAG